rnacentral:lncRNA from 1 species
CAACUAUGGCUCACUCUGCCACUUUGUCCUAACCAGGGUUAAGUGGCCUCCCGGCAGAAGCCCUACUUGCUCUAUUUUCUAGACCCAUUGUUGCACAAGAAUAGUUUUGCACUUCAGGUUGGAUCUUUUUUCCUUUAAUAAGCAUCUUCUAGUUGGUCUUUUCUGAGAGGUACCAUCAGUGAACUCCUCCAAGUACUCACUGAGUGUCUUUUCACUUCCUCUUACUGUGGCUUCUGCCCAGUCAUGGCAGCUUUUGACCGACUUAUGUGUAUUUUAGUCUUGCAUUACAUUCAUCUUUGAAUUUUCCUGGAAAUCAUAAGCAUUUCAUUUUGUUCUCCAUCUUGCUUUUGUAUAUUUUCAGGAGAAGGAGGAAGAAAAUUCUGACUUGUGAGGUGAUGUUCAAGCCUGAAGUCCAGUAAACACCUUGAUAGAGGCAUUACGGUCCCAGCGUGGAAAGUGUCCGGGUACCUGACACGCAGACAGGCCCUCUUCUGCUGGGCCAUCCAGAUCCUUAGUGACCCUCCAUGUGGCAAAUGGGACAGGAGAUUUCUUUCCCUGGGAAGAGUCCGUGGAUUCUCCUGGCUGGGGUUUUAGGAAAGGAAGUCGCAUGCCUGUGCCCACCAUCGCCUGACAAGUAAGCCUUUUCAUCUGGGCAGCUCCGUGCUCUCACUCACCCC